UUUCUGUAGCAAUACAGGGAGUGGGCGCACGGCGCACGGGUGCGUAACACGUGGGCAAUCUGCCCUCGGAUGGGGGAUAACUCGUCGAAAGGCGAGCUAAUACCGCAUGACAUUCCGAAGACUCCGGUCUUUGGACUCAAAGGCCGCAAGGCCGUCUGAGGAGGAGCCCGCGCCCGAUUAGCUAGUUGGUGAGGUAACGGCUCACCAAGGCUUUGAUCGGUAGCCGGUCUGAGAGGAUGGCCGGCCACACUGGAACUGAGACACGGUCCAGACUCCUACGGGAGGCAGCAGUGGGGAAUAUUGCGCAAUGGGCGAAAGCCUGACGCAGCGACGCCGCGUGGGGGAUGAAGCUUCUCGGAGUGUAAACCCCUUUCGACCCGGACGAAUGACCCGCAAGGGUUUGACGGUACGGGUAUAAGAAGCCCCGGCUAACUACGUGCCAGCAGCCGCGGUAAUACGUAGGGGGCCAGCGUUGCUCGGAAUUACUGGGCGUAAAGGGUUCGUAGGUGGUGCGGUAAGUUGGGAGUGAAAUCUCUGGGCUUAACUCAGGGGCUGCUUUCAAAACUGCCGUGCUCGAGUGCGAGAGAGGUCAGUGGAAUUGCAGGUGUAGCGGUGAAAUGCGUAGAUAUCUGCAGGAACACCCGUGGCGAAGGCGGCUGACUGGAUCGCAACUGACACUGAGGAACGAAAGCUAGGGGAGCAAACAGGAUUAGAUACCCUGGUAGUCCUAGCCCUAAACCAUCAGAACUUGGGGUAGCCCGCGUAGGCGGGUUGUCCCGUAGCUAACGCGUUAAGUUCUGCGCCUGGGGAGUACGGUCGCAAGACUGAAACUC
rnacentral:rRNA from 1 species